CAGAUGCAUUUCUAUUAAAAAAAUUGCUUGUUUAAAUACCAGGCAAAUCGUUCUACUAUUCUCAUUCACAACACCGCUGUCCUACCCAUGGGAAAUUUUGUUUGUGACCUUUCAUCUAGAUUCUGGAGCUCGACAGAUCUUCCUUACCAUCUCCUUCCAACUUUCUCUAAUCGCACCACAAGCGCUCACAAACCACUCUACGAUCGUGAUUUGGAGAGUUGAGAUUCGAAUCGAUCCUGACUUCUAAGUUUGAGCAAUUCGAGGAGAAUGGCAGGAUUAGCUAGAACCCUCGCCGUGCAUCUGUUUCUCGUUCUUUGGGCCUCCCAAGCAAAAUCAGAUCAAUUGGAGUUCACCCCCCUACAGCUCCAGCAAAUUGACGAGUCCAAAUCACACUUCGAGGUGGACCAUGAAUUCGCCUACACCAGUAACAAACCUGUCUUCAUAUCUGGGUUCUCUAAAGCGCAAGAGAAUUUCAUUUUGGAACGGUUCGGAGCAUUCUUUAGCAGUCAACCAACCAACCAAGUCGAUUUGGCUAAGUGGGGGGCACCUUCCUCCAUCAAAGCUUCGCCAAUGAUUCCAGUGUGCCCAGCAAUAACGGUCAAGAAAAUCCUCUACACUGGGAUCAAUGUUGACGAUGAACCAGUAGCCGUUGUACAGUUUGGUGAUGUGAACCAGUGGGUUAUAUGGCAACAGUGCUCCUCCAAAGAGUCCCCUCAUAUUUCUCUAUUUCAACACGGCAAACGGGUCGAAUGUUCGCAUACGGUUCGAUCCGUUCCUAUGGUGGUUUUUCGGUUACCCAUUUCUUCUUUCGAUGACGUCACGGUUCAGCACAUCAAGAUCAAGGCAUGCACAAGUCACGUCACUGAGCCCUACCAACAAACAGAUCAAACCGGACCAGAUCCACUUGACCAUCAACCACUUCAACCCUAUUUUCAAUGAUGACCAUAAUACGAAAAACAACAGAAUUAAGAGGGAUCAACCCUUAAUCAACUCAGUUAUCUAUACGCAUUAUUUUGAGAACCUUCGAUUCAAACCGAUUUCUUUUUACUAAUCAAAAUACUUAGACUGAUUUUUUUAUAAUCGAUAUUCAAGGUUUGAAUAGUAGAUUAAGCGUAAUUACGAUAUCUAUCUUUUAGCAGUGAAUGGUAACAUUGAUCCCGAAAUGUAGCUAUCUUUGUUACGUCAUUACUCGAACAAUAUAGAUUUGUACCUAAUUUUUGAUAAAAACUUUCUCUUCUAAAAAAAAAAAACACAUUGCCUAUAUAAUGGAAUCAUCUCGUAUCUCUGUGAACUCUUGCUGCGCUGAUGUUGCAAUUUUGCACAUUCUUACAAUUAAAUUCAACAAUCGUAAUGAUAAUUAUGUGAUAAAUAGCUAUAGUUCUCGGGUAGCAUCUAUUCAAUAAAUAUCAACAUCGAUGGAGAAAUUUGGAACUCUAUAUUCAAAGAAAAUAUCAUAAGUACAAUUGUCAUUAUUUUCCCCCAAAAUAUCUAAGACUAACAUAAUAAUAACAAUAAUAAUGAUGAUGAUGAUAAUAAUAAUAAUAAUAAUAAUAAUAAACAAUAAUAAUAGGCACCUUUAUAGCGCCAUCUAUCUAGAAAUAAUCUAUUCCGAUGCGCAUUGUUACUAUUAUUAUUACCCCGGUUUUAGCUCGAGCUGCCUUUCAGCGCUCAGCGCAUUCAAGGAAUUAAUCCUGCCGGGUACCCAUACACCUCACCUGGGUUGAGUGCAGCACAAUGUGGAUAAAUUUCUUGCUGAAGGAAAACACGCCAUGGCUAGGAUUAAUAAACAUUGUUUAUUAAUUAACAUCUAAGAAUCGUAGAUUCAGGAGUAGAAUUGCAUUGUAUUUAUGGAGACAGGUGGAAAUUUGUAUACAAGAUAAUUAUGUCAUUCAAUUACAAGAAUGAGUAGUGUA